GUGAAGCUGGCUACUUUUGCACAGGAGGUGCCAAAAGUGCUCUUCAGCAAGUGGUGAUGGAAGGGCAUUAUUCCUUACCAGGAGCUUUCAAGCCAGAACCAUGUCCUCUUGGCAGCUUCCAGCCUGCUCGUGCUCAGGCUCUUUGUCGGGACUGUCCAGAGGGUACAUUCUGCAGUGAGGCAGGCCUGGCUGCACCCCAGGAUUGUCCCAAAGGGCAUUUUUGCUUGGCUGGCAGUUCCUUCCCUCUCCCAUGCCCAGUGGGAACCUACACUGAUGUAGCCAGGGCAGGUUCUUGCAAGCCCUGCCCAGCAGGCAUGUACUGCAGCAGGGCUGCUCUGACUGAGCCAGAAGGACAUUGUCAGCCAGGGUAUUACUGCCUUCAAGGUUCCAGCACCUCCACA